rnacentral:rRNA from 1 species
AGUGAACGCUGGCGGUAGGCCUAACACAUGCAAGUCGAACGGCAGCACAGUAAGAGCUUGCUCUUACGGGUGGCGAGUGGCGGACGGGUGAGGAAUACAUCGGAAUCUACUUUUUCGUGGGGGAUAACGUAGGGAAACUUACGCUAAUACCGCUUACGACCUACGGGUGAAAGCAGGGGUUCUUCGGACCUUGCGCGAUUGAAUGAGCCGAUGUCGGAUUAGCUAGUUGGCGGGGUAAAGGCCCACCAAGGCGACGAUCCGUAGCUGGUCUGAGAGGAUGAUCAGCCACACUGGAACUGAGACACGGUCCAGACUCCUACGGGAGGCAGCAGUGGGGAAUAUUGGACAAUGGGCGCAAGCCUGAUCCAGCCAUACCGCGUGAGUGAAGAAGGCCUUCGGGUUGUAAAGCCCUUUUGUUGGGAAAGAAAAGCAGCAGGUUAAUACCCCGCUGUUCUGACGGUACCCAAAGAAUAAGCACCGGCUAACUUCGUG